GUUCAGUGUAUUCACUAGGUCAGUCCUAGCUCAGUGUAUUCAGUCCUAGCUCAGUGUAUUCACUAGGUCAGUCCUAGCUCAGUGUAUUCACUAGGUCAGUCCUAGCUCAGUGUAUUCACUAGGUCAGUCCUAGCUCAGUGUAUUCACUAGGUCAGUCCUAGCUCAGUGUAUUCAGUCCUAGCUCAGUGUAUUCAGUCCUAGUUCAGUGUAUUCACUAGGUCAGUCCUAGCUCAGUGUAUUCACUAGGUCAGUCCUAGUUCAGUGUAUUCACUAGGUCAGUCCUUGCUCAGUGUAUUCACUAGGUCAGUCCUAGCUCAGUGUAUUCACUAGGUCAGUCCUAGCUCAGUGUAUUCAGUCCUAGCUCAGUGUAUUCAGUCCUAGUUCAGUGUAUUCACUAGGUCAGUCCUAGCUCAGUGUAUUCACUAGGUCAGUGUAUUCAGUCCUAGUUCAGUGUAUUCAGUCCUAGCUCAGUGUAUUCACUAGGUCAGUCCUAGCUCAGUGUAUUCACUAGGUCAGUCCUAGUUCAGUGUAUUCACUAGGUCAGUCCUAGUUCAGUGUGUGUGUGUGUGUGUACCUGUGUGUGUG
rnacentral:lncRNA from 1 species